CAAGUCGAGCGAACGGACGAGAAGCUUGCUUCUCUGAUGUUAGCGGCGGACGGGUGAGUAACACGUGGAUAACCUACCUAUAAGACUGGGAUAACUUCGGGAAACCGUAGCUAAUACCGGAUAAUAUUUUGAACCGCAUGGUUCAAAAGUGAAAGACGGUCUUGCUGUCACUUAUAGAUGGAUCCGCGCUGCAUUAGCUAGUUGGUAAGGUAACGGCUUACCAACGCAACGAUGCAUAGCCGACCUGAGAGGGUGAUCGGCCACACUGGAACUGAGACACGGUCCAGACUCCUACGGGAGGCAGCACUAGGGAAUCUUCCGCAAUGGGCGAAAGCCUGACGGAGCAACGCCGCGUGAGUGAUGAAGGUCUUCGGAUCGUAAAACUCUGUUAUUAGGGAAGAACAUAUGUGUAAGUAACUGUGCACAUCUUGACGGUACCUAAUCAGAAGGCCACGGCUAACUACGUGCCAGCAGCCGCGGUAAUACGUAGGUGGCAAGCGUUAUCCGGAAUUAUUGGGCGUAAAGCGCGCGUAGGCGGUUUUUUAAGUCUGAUGUGAAAGCCCACGGCUCAACCGUGGAGGGUCAUUGGAAACUGGAAAACUUGAGUGCAGAAGAGGAAAGUGGAAUUCCAUGUGUAGCGGUGAAAUGCGCAGAGAUAUGGAGGAACACCAGUGGCGAAGGCGACUUUCUGGUCUGUAACUGACGCUGAUGUGCGA
rnacentral:rRNA from 1 species